rnacentral:rRNA from 1 species
UAGUCCACACCGUAAACGAUGACUACUAGAUGGUGCGGGUAUUGACUCCUGCGCUGUCGGGGCUAACGCAUUAAGUAGUCCGCCUGGGAAGUACGGCCGCAAGGCUAAAACUCAAAGGAAUUGACGGGGACCCGCACAAGCGGUGGAGUAUGUGGUUUAAUUCGAUGCAACGCGAAGAACCUUACCUACUCUUGACAUCUAGAGAAGCCAGCGGAGACGCAGGUGUGCCUUCGGGAACUCUAAGACAGGUGCUGCAUGGCUGUCGUCAGCUCGUGUUGUGAAAUGUUGGGUUAAGUCCCGCAACGAGCGCAACCCUUAUCCUUGUUUGCCAGCACGUAAUGGUGGGAACUCCAGGGAGACUGCCGGUGACAAACCGGAGGAAGGUAAGGAUGACGUCAAGUCAGCAUGCCCCUUAUGCUCUGGGCUACACACGUGCUACAAUGGCCGUGACAAAGAGUUGCUACUUUGUGAAAACAAGCUAAUCUCAUAAACGCGGCCUCAGUUCGG